GACGAACGCUGGCGGCGUGCCUAAUACAUGCAAGUUGAGCGCUGAAGGUUGGUACUUGUACCAACUGGAUGAGCAGCGAACGGGUGAGUAACGCGUGGGGAAUCUGCCUUUGAGCGGGGGACAACAUUUGGAAACGAAUGCUAAUACCGCAUAAAAACUUUAAACACAAGUUUUAAGUUUGAAAGAUGCAAUUGCAUCACUCAAAGAUGAUCCCGCGUUGUAUUAGCUAGUUGGUGAGGUAAAGGCUCACCAAGGCGAUGAUACAUAGCCGACCUGAGAGGGUGAUCGGCCACAUUGGGACUGAGACACGGCCCAAACUCCUACGGGAGGCAGCAGUAGGGAAUCUUCGGCAAUGGACGAAAGUCUGACCGAGCAACGCCGCGUGAGUGAAGAAGGUUUUCGGAUCGUAAAACUCUGUUGGUAGAGAAGAACGUUGGUGAGAGUGGAAAGCUCAUCAAGUGACGGUAACUACCCAGAAAGAGGCGGCUAACUACGUG
rnacentral:rRNA from 1 species